UUCUAUUGGGUUUAAUGGGGGAAAGAGCUUUAAUGAUAUUUGCUAAAUCACUACUAUUUGUCUAUUUCUUUCAAUUUUCUUGCUUAGAAUGUAUUUGUCCAUCCCUUUGUCGAGGAAAAUUAUGAUUGCAACCAAUAAGCAAUAUAAUUCUUGACAUAUAUAUAUAUACUAUUUUUCAUAUGUAUUGUGAGUUCGAAUUUUU
rnacentral:lncRNA from 1 species